GGAUGUGGGGGCCAUCUGGCUGAGACAUUUGUCACCCCAUUGAUCACCAAGGUUGAUUCGGCUGAUCUGGCUGGCUAGGCGGGUGUCCUCUUCCUCCCUCAAUGAUCCUUGUGCGUCCCUCCCGAAGCUGCGUGCUCAGUUGAAGAGGAUGACCACCCCCAAAAGAGGAGGACCGUUCCUCGGUCAAGGGUAUACAAGUAGCUGCACUCCCCUGCUAGAACCUCCAAACAAAGCUCUCAAGGAAAUGUCACAGAGUAUGAGGCUUUGACACUGUGAU
rnacentral:snRNA from 1 species